ACAGACCAUACGCGUAUGGGCAGAAAUACCCAAUUUUUCAAAUCUGAUACGCGUAUGGGACAACUUAUACGCGUAUAGGAAAUUCAAAUCAACCUUUUGUACAUUCAUGAAAGUUUUAGUCCUUGACUUUAGGUUUCAUUUUCUGCCAGUACCACAUCAUCACGAGUUACGACAUUCUAGAUAUGAUUAAAAUACUACACGCCUAUCAUGUUGUGAAAUGUGCUGAAAACAGACUUUGUGAAUCUUUCUCAAAAUUCAUCGUGUUUCUUUUUCGACCAUUUCUUU
rnacentral:lncRNA from 1 species